rfam:Paenibacillus yonginensis strain DCY84 chromosome, complete genome.
ACAAAAAAAGGACAAAAACCCUCGUAAAAAGCAUGCUACAAGGGCUUUUGUCCGGGUGCCCAUUCUCAGGACACCCAUCAUGGGAGAGGAGAAACCGGAUGAAGAUCUUAUGGGGAAACGUAAGUCUUCUCCGCGG